GCAAACUUGGUCAUUUAGAGGAAGUAAAAGUCGUAACAAGGUUUCCGUAGGUGAACCUGCGGAAGGAUCAUUAUUGAACAAACUUGGAUGGGUUGUUGCUGGCUUGUUCAAAGCAUGUGCACACCUUCUCCAUUUUUAAAACCCACCUGUGCACCUUGUGUAAACCUGAACCACCGUUCGAGAGGGACAACUUCUCGGUCUUGGAAAUUGCUUGUGUGUGUGUGCCAAACAUCCAGCUUUUCUUGUAUUCAGGUCUAUGUCCUUUAUAUACUCCAUAGGAAUGUACCACAGAACGUUGUCAAAAUAUACAAGGCAUUUUUAUGCCUAUAAAACCAAAUACAACUUUCAACAACGGAUCUCUUGGCUCUCGCAUCGAUGAAGAACGCAGC
rnacentral:misc_RNA from 1 species